rnacentral:lncRNA from 1 species
UAGCAACAAUAAUGAUGAUCAUGAUCAAGAUAACGGUAACGGAAAAAACAAAUUGGCCUUGUAUGAGAAAUCUGUGGCGAAGAACGUCCGUUGAACCGACAAUCAGAGUCGUCACCAGCUACGGUUGGGCUCAAUUUCCCCAAAUCAUCAAAGAAAUAGAUCGUAAUGCGAAGCAUCUAUAACAAAAAUUAAAGUUAAUUAAGCAGAUCAAGAACCUUCUGUUGAAAUUGAUUAAAAAAAAAGGAAAAGUCAAAUGGGAACACAUUGAUUGCAUUCAAAUGGGUGGAUGGACUUUGACAAGCAAAAUGCCAAUUUUGAACCGCAUGAUGAAUUUGUCAAAAAAGGAAGAAAGUUGUUGCCGACUUAUUAGAUUUUUGGUGUGAUAGUUUGGCUAUAAAUUGGAAUGUCAUUUGAUGAGAAAUGAGUAGCAAUGAGCUUCGGCAUUGCUCAAGAAAAUAGACAUGAAAUGUUGGCCAUUGAGAGAAGCAAUCCAAAUCCCAGAGAAGGAAUCCAAGUUUUGGUGAGAAAUUGAGAGAGAGAAGUGAAUAUUUUUCUCUGGUAUCUUUUUGACAACGGCUGUGGUUUUUCUCCGGAUUUAGAGUUUUCCACGUAAAUCUUGUGUUGUGUGAUUGGUGUAUUCUCCAUUAAAUUUUUCUGUUAAUUUGUUGCUUGACAAAUUGCUUGGAGUGAUCUUAGGAGGAAGCUCAAUUUCCUAACAGUUGUAUCAGAGCCAAUAGUUUGUACUUGGGGUAUACGGUACUGUUUAUGUAAAGCAUAUAUGUCAGCAGCUGGUGUUUUUUAAACUUGGUGGAGUUUGAUGUUGUUAAAAAAAAAUUAAUGGAAGAAUGAUUUUAUUGGCUUGUGGAGAAUUCAAGUCAAAGGUGUAUCCAAUCUGGUAUGCACAAAGAUUUGAAGGUGUGGACAAUUUUUGGCACCUCAAGAAAAUUAUCAAGAAGGUGGAGUGGGCUCGGCAAAUUACUCCAGAAUCAGUAAAGGAGAUAAUGAUAUUCUCGUAGAUGGUGAGUUUCCUUUUGAUAGGAGAUUGGGUUAGUUCUUUUGGCAUGUAAAUCUCCAAGUUGCCGUGAAAGAGAACAUGCUAUGAUCAGCGGGGUACACAAGUUUGCACGCGGGCAUUGGCUUGGUAUAAAUGCAAGGUGUGUGGUGGAAAAGUUAUGUCAUGGCUGAAGAAUUCUCAGGGAAACCAAGCAUGAGAAUUGCACCAUAAAUUUCAGCAAGAUAUUUUGACAUGUGCCGAGAAAAAUCUUAGAAUGGUUGUUUCUAAGUGGUAUACUCUUUAUGGUGGAGUAUGAUAAUUCUCUAUGUUGAGAAUUAUGACUGUUGGUGAAGACAGUGUUUUGUAGCAGUAGUUAUGAAUUUUUUUUUUUUAAUCAAGGUGGAGAUUGUUGAAAUUGAUUAAAAAAAAAGGAAAAGUCAAAUGGGAACACAUUGAUUGCAUUCAAAUGGGUGGAUGGACUUUGACAAGCAAAAUGCCAAUUUUGAACCGCAUGAUGAAUUUGUCAAAAAGGAAGAAAGUUGUUGCUGACUUAUUAGAUUUUUGGUGUGAUAGUUUGGCUAUAAAUUGGAAUGUCAUUUGAUGAGAAAUGAGUAGCAAUGAGCUUCGGCAUUGCUCAAGAAAAUAGACAUGAAAUGUUGGCCUUGAGAGAAGCAAUCCAAAUCCCAGAGAAGGAAUCCAAGUUUUGGUGAGAAAUUGAGAGAGAGAAAAGUUCUUAAGCAUGUAGUUAUAUUGAAGGAGCAUUUGGCUCCUCAAUAUGGGUAUUACGGGUUUGCUUUGUUAAGGGAUAUUUCUCAGGAUUAUGUAUUUGGGGUUUGGGUGAGAGAAAAUUAUUUAUGAGAGUGUGGUUAUAAUAAUUUUCCAUAUAGUGAAUAUUUUUCUCUGGUUAUUUUUUUGACAACGGCUGUGGUUUUUCUCCGGAUUUAGAGUUUUCCAUGUAAAUCUUGUGUUGUGUGAUUGGUGUAUUCUCUAUUAAAUUUUUCUGUUAAUUUGUUGCUUGACAAAUUGCUUGGAGUGAUCUUGGGAGGAAGCUCAAUUUCCUAACACCUUCAGCUUCUCAAAGCUCCUCUCUCAAUCUAAAAGCGUCUGAUUCAGAAGAUGGAUGCUCGGCAUUUUGAUAUUGGCUGUGG